rnacentral:rRNA from 1 species
GACGAACGCUGGCGGCGUGCCUAAUACAUGCAAGUCGAACGCACUCUCGAUUAGCUUGCUGGAGUUUGCUUCUGAUUGAUAGACAUUUGAGUGCGUGGCUGACGGGUGUGUAACACGUGGGUAACUUCCCCUAAAGUGGGGUAUAACCUUUUGAUAUAGAUACUAAUACCGCUUAAAACCUAACACCGCAUGGUGUAGGGCUGAUAGAUGGUUUCGGCUCUCAUUUUCGAAUGGACCCGGGGUGCAUUUGUUAGUUGGUGAGGUAAUGGCUCACCAAGACCGCGAUGCAUAGCCGACCUGAGAGGGUAAUCGGCCACACUGGGACUGAGACACGGCCCAGACUCCUACGGGAGGCAGCAGUAGGGAAUCUUCCACAAUGGACGAAAGUCUGAUGGAGCAACGCCGCGUGAGUGAAGAAGGUUUUCGGAUCGUAAAACUCUGUUGUUAGAGAAGAAUGUAUCUGAUAGUAACUGAGCAGGUAGUGACGGUAUCCAACCAGAAAGCCACGGCUAACUACGUG